rnacentral:rRNA from 1 species
CCUACGGGAGGCAGCAGUGAGGAAUAUUGGUCAAUGGCCGCAGGGCUGAACCAGCCAAGUCGCGUGAGGGAUGACGGUCCUAUGGAUUGUAAACCUCUUUUGUCAGGGAGCAAAGGGCGCCACGUGUGGCGCUUUGCGAGUACCUGAAGAAAAAGCAUCGGCUAACUCCGUGCCAGCAGCCGCGGUAAUACGGAGGAUGCGAGCGUUAUCCGGUUUUAUUGGGUGUAAAGGGUGCGCAGGCGGAAUGUCAAGUCAGCGGUAAAAUUUCGGGGCUCAACCCCGUAGUGCCGUUGAAACUGGCGUUCUUGAGUGAGCGAGAAGUAUGCGGAAUGCGUGGUGUAGCGGUGAAAUGCAUAGAUAUCACGCAGAACUCCGAUUGCGAAGGCAGCAUACCGGCGCUCAACUGACGUUCAUGCACGAAAGCGUGGGUAUCGAACAGGAUUAGAUACCCGAGUAGUC